AAAGAUGAUUUCUCUCCUUUUGGAUUUGCCAGUCAGCUGUCAGAUGAGAGAUAAUAGAUGUGAUGACUUUUUAUAUAGGAUAAAUUUUACAGUCAAGGAUCAAAGACUGCAACUGUCCAUAAACUGGCAAUUGUCAAUGAGAUCUGAUAUGCAGAAAUGUAGGUGAUGUCACGCUACAUAUUUUGGAAGGACAGAAAGCACUUUUAAGUAACUCUGUAUUGAUGCACCUGGGAAACAAUGUUUAAACAGCUUCCAGGUAUGAUAGCAUGGCUUUUUCCCUUCCCAGCUUUUGGCUCAAAGGCCACA
rnacentral:lncRNA from 1 species